rnacentral:rRNA from 1 species
GACGAACGCUGGCGGCGUGCCUAAUACAUGCAAGUUGAGCGCUGAAGGUUGGUACUUGUACCGACUGGAUGAGCAGCGAACGGGUGAGUAACGCGUGGGGAAUCUGCCUUUGAGCGGGGGACAACAUUUGGAAACGAAUGCUAAUACCGCAUAAAAACUUUAAACACAAGUUUUAAGUUUGAAAGAUGCAAUUGCAUCACUCAAAGAUGAUCCCGCGUUGUAUUAGCUAGUUGGUGAGGUAAAGGCUCACCAAGGCGAUGAUACAUAGCCGACCUGAGAGGGGGAUCGGCGACAGUGGGACUGAGACACGGCCCAAACUCCUACGGGAGGGAGCAGUAGGGAAGCUGCGGCAAUGGACGAAAGUCUGACCGAGCAACGCCGCGUGAGUGAAGAAGGUUUUCGGAUCGGAAAACUCUGUUGGUAGAGAAGAACGGUGGUGAGAGUGGAAAGCUCAUCAAGUGACGGUAACUACGCAGAAAGGGACGGCUAACUACGUG